AAGCCUGGGGGAGCCACAAGCAGGGGCAUCUGGGAGGGGCUUCAGGGUGCGGGUGGCAGGGUCCAGGGCCUCAACGCCGUGUGCGGCUUUCAGAACCCAUCUGCGCCGUCGGCCACGGUGUCGCCGCCCUGUGCUGUGCCACCAACGAGGACAGAUCCUGGGUGUUCCAUGGCUACAGCCUGACAGGGCCCUCUGUGUGUGAGCUCGUCAGGGCCCCCGGCUUCGCCCGCCUGCCGCUCGUGGUGGAGGACUUCGUGAAGGAUUCGGGCGCCUGCUUCAGUGCAAGCGAGCCUGACGCUGUCCACGUCGUGCUGGACCGCCACCUGGUCACGGGCCAGAAUGCCAGCUCCACUGUCCCGGCCGUGCAGAACCUGCUCUUCCUCUGUGGCAGCCGGAAAUGAACCUGCUGGGUAGAUGCACCCCCUGAGACAGCCCAGGUGUCUCCAGAGACAGCCCCGUCUCAGGCUUCAGGGACCCCGCCUCUUCCCUCCUGACAAGGGCCCUGGAUGGCAGCCUGGUCUGGCCCUGAUGGGAUUGUUGGAGGCCUCCUGGAAUCAGCUCUGAGGGGGUGUCGGCUCUCCUGGAGGGUCCAAACCCCCA
rnacentral:sRNA from 1 species